GCGAGAGUAGUUCAGUGGUAGAACAUGUGCUUCCCAAGCAUAAAAUGGGGGUUCGAUUCCCCUCUCUCGCU
rnacentral:tRNA from 2 species